rnacentral:sRNA from 1 species
UGAAAUAAAAAAGGUUUGAAAGAACAAAUACAACUGCUAAAGCAAACGGUGGGCAUGUUAUACUGAAAAGGCUCGAGGACAAGUCAAAUUACCAGCUAUUUUGUGAGUUCCUCGGCCACUGAUAAACGAAAGGUACAUGCU